AGAGUUUGAUCCCGGCUCAGAAUCAACGCUGGCGGCGCGCUUAACACAUGCGAGUCGAACGAGAAAGGGAGCAAUCCUGAGUAAAGUGGCGUACUGGUGAGUAACACGUGGAUAUCUACCUCCUGGUGGGGAAUAACCUGGGGAAACCUGGGCUAAUACCGCAUAAGUUCGAGAGAAGAAAGGCGCAAGUCGCCGGGAGAGGAGUCCGCGGUCGAUUAGGUAGUUGGCGGGGUAAAAGCCCACCAAGCCAAAGAUCGAUAGCCGGCCUGAGAGGGCACACGGCCACACUGGCACUGAAACACGGGCCAGACUCCUACGGGAGGCAGCAGUGGGGAAUCUUGCACAAUGGGGGAAACCCUGAUGCAGCGACGCCGCGUGAGCGAUGAAGCCCUUCGGGGUGUAAAGCUCUUUCGGCAGGAACGAUAAUGACGGUACCUGCAGAAGAAGCUGCGGCUAACUACGUGCCAGCAGCCGCGGUAAUACGUAGGCAGCGAGCGUUGUUCGGAAUUACUGGGCGUAAAGAGUGUGUAGGUGGUGUCGUAAGUUUGGUGUGAAAUCUCCCGGCUUAACUGGGAGGGUGCGCCGAAGACUGCGAGGCUGGAGUAUGGGAGAGGAAAGCGGAAUUCCUGGUGUAGCGGUGAAAUGCGUAGAUAUCAGGAGGAACACCUGCGGUGUAGACGGCUUUCUGGACCAUUACUGACACUGAGACACGAAAGCGUGGGUAGCAAACAGGAUUAGAUACCCUGGUAGUCCACGCCGUAAACGAUGAUUGCUAGUUGUCGGGAAGCUUGCUUCUCGGUGACGCAGCUAACGCAUUAAGCAAUCCGCCUGGGGAGUACGGUCGCAAGGUUAAGACUCAAAGGAAUUGACGGGGGCCCGCACAAGCGGUGGAGCAUAUGGUUUAAUUCGAAGCAACGCGCAGAACCUUACCACCUUUUGACAUGCCUGGACCGCCAGAGAGAUCUGGCUUUCCCUUCGGGGACUAGGACACAGGUGCUGCAUGGCUGUCGUCAGCUCGUGUCGUGAGAUGUUGGGUUAAGUCCCGCAACGAGCGCAACCCUCGCCAUUAGUUGCCAUCAUUUAGUUGGGAACUCUAAUGGGACUGCCGGUGCUAAGCCGGAGGAAGGUGGGGAUGACGUCAAGUCCUCAUGGCCCUUACAGGGUGGGCUACACACGUGCUACAAUGGCGACUACAGAGGGUUAAUCCUUAAAAGUCGUCUCAGUUCGGAUUGUCCUCUGCAACUCGAGGGCAUGAAGUUGGAAUCGCUAGUAAUCGCGGAUCAGCAUGCCGCGGUGAAUACGUUCCCGGGCCUUGUACACACCGCCCGUCACACCAUGGGAGUUGGUUCUACCCGAAGGCGAUGCGCUAACCCGCAAGGGAGGCAGUCGACCACGGUAGGGUCAGCGACUGGGGUGAAGUCGUAACAAGGUA
rnacentral:rRNA from 1 species